rnacentral:tRNA from 1 species
GGGAUUGUGGCUUAAUAGCAGAGCACUUACCUCUCACGUAUGAGGCCCUGGGUUCAAUCCUCAGCACUA